GAUGAACGCUGGCGGCGUGCCUAAUACAUGCAAGUCGAGCGAACGGACGAGAAGCUUGCUUCUCUGAUGUUAGCGGCGGACGGGUGAGUAACACGUGGAUAACCUACCUAUAAGACUGGGAUAACUUCGGGAAACCGUAGCUAAUACCGGAUAAUAUUUUGAACCGCAUGGUUCAAAAGUGAAAGACGGUCUUGCUGUCACUUAUAGAUGGAUCCGCGCUGCAUUAGCUAGUUGGUAAGGUAACGGCUUACCAAGGCAACGAUGCAUAGCCGACCUGAGAGGGUGAUCGGCCACACUAGAACUGAGACACGGUCCAGACUCCUACGGGAGGCAGCAGUAGGGAAUCUUCCGCAAUGGGCGAAAGCCUGACGGAGCAACGCCGCGUGAGUGAUGAAGGUCUUCGGAUCGUAAAACUCUGUUAUUAGGGAAGAACAUAUGUGUAAGUAACUGUGCACAUCUUGACGGUACCUAACCAGAAAGCCACGGCUAACUACGUG
rnacentral:rRNA from 1 species